UGGGGUAAAUAUUCGCACGUUGGAUUUAAUCUGCUGUUCUAUUGUUUGGUUAUGUCGGCGGCACAGCCUUUGACGUUGGUUAGGCUAGGCCACGCCACCGGGGAGGAGCCUGCGACGAAGACGUCAUCGAAACCGCGAUCUGUGUACCAGGAUCCCAUGAUGCGGGUCGGUAACGGCGGCAAUAGCAGCUAGCUGCCGUCCAUAGACUACAAAGAAAAAUAACCGUUGCAUU